rnacentral:rRNA from 1 species
AGCGUAGACGGCUGUGUAAGUCUGAAGUGAAAACUCGGGGCUCAACCCCGGGACUGCUUUGGAAACUAUGCAGCUAGAGUGUCGGAGAGGUAAGUGGAAUUCCCAGUGUAGCGGUGAAAUGCGUAGAUAUUGGGAGGAACACCAGUGGCGAAGGCGGCUUACUGGACGAUGACUGACGUUGAGGCUCGAAAGCGUGGGGAGCAAACA